GGGAGCUUCAAGAAGGGAUUUUCAUCAUCAAUGUGAAGGUAAGUUAUCCCCACUUAUUUUGAGUUAAGUACAUCAAUUAUGUAUGGAUUUGAGCAUGAAAAUUGUAGAAAAAUUGAGGAUUUAGGCCUAAAGAUUUGAAAAUAAGUUUUGGUGAUUUGAGGGGUCAAAUGAGCUCCUAUUUUGGUAAAUUUUAUAUGUACGGACUCGUGGUGAGACGAGGAAUCCGGUGAUGUGACUUUCGUAAUUUUUCGAGAAGUGGGCCUGGGGCUCGGGUUUUGCAAAUUUAGUGAUUUUCGAUAUUUUUCGAGUCUUUUCGAUUGGGUUAUAUUCCCUUAACCUAUUGUAAUAUAUUCCUUGUGGUUUUGGCAAGAUUCGACGCGCGAGGAGGUCGAUUCAAAAGGAAAGGGCAUCGCGGAGUUGACUUUUGGCCGUCUUGAGGUGAGUAAUAGAUGUAAAUGUUGUUCUGAGGGUUUGAAAUCCCGGACUUUCACAUCGUAACGCUAUAUUGAGGCGUGACACGCACUCUAUGGCGAGUGCGGGGUCGGAUACUAUUGGGGAUUGUGACUUGGUCCAUCCCGUGUGAUGUUUAUACUAUACUGGUGAUUGAUACACAUACUUCACUGAUAUUACUGGGCUUGAUGCCAUGUUUGGGGCCUUGUGCCGAUUUGUAAAAUCCUUCGAGGAUUGAUAUUACUACUUAGCAUGAUUUGCAUAUCAUUUAAUUUCAGUCCAAGGUUUUAAAUGUUGUUUUGCAAACUCAGCCAUAAUUCUAAGUGUUGAAAACUUAAAUGAUAUUUUUAAAUGUAUUCCGGGCUGGGAACUUCUAUUUUGUAAAUGCCCAAGGGGCUUAUUAUAUUAUUUUUUGGACUGAUUAUAAAGUGACUUGAAACAGUGGUAACAAUGACACUGUGUGAUAUACUUGAAACAGUGGUAACAAUGACACUGUGUGAUAUACUUGAAACAGUGGUAACAAUGACACUGGAUAAUAUACUUGAACAGUGGUAACAAUGGCACUGUAUGAUAUAAAUUGGUCAGGUAACAAUGGCUGACCGGUCAGGUAACAAUGACUGACCAAGAUAUUGCGCUUGGGCUGUAGGAGCCUCUCCAGAUUCUGUACACACCCCCAGUGAGCGCCGUCGACGAUAAAUAAAUAUGGAUGGCUCGGGCUGCACGCCGCAGUGGGUACUGGAAUGUACCAUCAUAUGCAUUGCAUUGCAUUCAUGUAUUUCUAUUUAUACUGUUGUUUAGCUGCUCAGUUCCAUAUGUUGUUGUAUAUUUGGAUUUUAGCUUACUUUGUGUAUUUACUGGAUUUUCUUAUCUUCGAACUGUAGUUACUUUUAUUACUCACUUGGUCGGAGUACUCACUUUACUCCCUGCACCUUGUGUAUAGAUCCAGGGCAGUCUCAGGCUCAGUAGAUCUAGUUGAUCAGCAAAUCCAGCUUCUGGGAGUAUCGAGGUAGCUGCACGGCGUUCGCAGCCAUUGAUCUUCUCCCUCCUAUCCUAUCUCUUUAUUUUCGCAUUAUCAGACUUUGGAUAUACCAUGUAUUAGGAUGAUAUUCUGUAUUCUAGAGGCUCAGAUUCGUGACACCGGGUCCUAAUUAGAUUAUAUUGUGUAUUUUGUUAAAAUCUUCAGUACUUUAAUCUUGCUUAAUUGAUAUUUCUU
rnacentral:lncRNA from 1 species